rnacentral:lncRNA from 1 species
GCCUUAUAACAUGUCUUUAUAACUGGCUGUGUAAGAAUGAAGAAAAGCUGUCCAUCUUCUGAGAAGCCCACUUCUCCACCAAGGUGCUCAGUUUUAGGAGUGGAGAACAGGGGCCACGGAAAAUACAUUGCUCCCCAGCUCCCAGCUCUCUUUACUUUCUCCCAGGAAGCAGCAUGUGCCAUCCUUCUGUCAGAAAACACCAAAGAGAUGAAGAAAUGAGAAAUCCAGAAACCAAAGACCUUGCUCUUUUGUCAAACAGACUUGGUAGAGCAGAGUUGCAAAAUCAGACCUUUGGGGGCUUGCGUGUUUCUCCUCUUACUCCCUGGUCUGGUGAUUUCCUGCUUGGUCGUCUUUUAAAACCCAGCCAUCUGAAUCCGAGAGUUGCUUCUUCAGCAAGGCCUCCCCUGACUCCUUCAGAUGUCUAAGCACCACCCCUACUCUUCUGCUGCAGCAUCUCCACUUGCUUUUGUCCUUCAUCUCCCUGAAAUUAUUUGCUUACUCAUCCAUCCAUGUCAGUUGCAAAAGCAUGACUUCCUCUAGUCCAAAGGCCAUUCAUGUUCAAUAUGUUAGCACUCGGAGCGUCUCCAGUGGUUGUUUCAAACAAGGCAAAUGAGUUCAGUUGAACUUUAUAUGUUCUGCCCUCCGACUGUGACUGUUAUUUACUUCCCUCCAAACAAAAUGUAAUAAUAAAAUGACUAACUGAA